UACGAAGGUCCCAAGCGUUAUCCGGAUUUAUUGGGUUUAAAGGGUGCGUAGGCGGGCUAUUAAGUCAGUGGUGAAAGCCCCAAGCUUAACUUGGGAACUGCCAUUGAUACUGAUGGUCUUGAGUACAUUUGAGGUGGGCGGAAUGUGUCAUGUAGCGGUGAAAUGCUUAGAUAUGACACAGAACACCGAUUGCGAAGGCAGCUCACUAAACUGUAAACCUGGACGCUGAGGCACGAAAGCGUGGGGAGCAAACAGG
rnacentral:rRNA from 1 species